UACUCCUACGGGAGGCAGCAGUGGGGAAUAUUGGACAAUGGGCGAAAGCCUGAUCCAGCCAUGCCGCGUGUGUGAAGAAGGUCUUCGGAUUGUAAAGCACUUUAAGUUGGGAGGAAGGGCAGUAAGUUAAUACCUUGCUGUUUUGACGUUACCAACAGAAUAAGCACCGGCUAACUUCGUGCCAGCAGCCGCGGUAAUACGAAGGGUGCAAGCGUUAAUCGGAAUUACUGGGCGUAAAGCGCGCGUAGGUGGUUCAGCAAGUUGGAUGUGAAAUCCCCGGGCUCAACCUGGGAACUGCAUCCAAAACUACUGAGCUAGAGUACGGUAGAGGGUGGUGGAAUUUCCUGUGUAGCGGUGAAAUGCGUAGAUAUAGGAAGGAACACCAGUGGCGAAGGCGACCACCUGGACUGAUACUGACACUGAGGUGUGAAAGCGUGGGGAGCAAACAGGAUUAGAUACCCUGGUAGUCCACGCCGUAAACGAUGUCGACUAGCCGUUGGGAUCCUUGAGAUCUUAGUGGCGCAGCUAACGCGAUAAGUCGACCGCCUGGGGAGUACGGCCGCAAGGUUAAAACUCAAAUGAAUUGACGGA
rnacentral:rRNA from 1 species